UUACGGAUCACAUUUAAAUGUGACAUAUCAUUCAAGUUUCUGACCUAUCAGCUUUAGACGGUAGGAUAUUGGCCUACCGUGGCAAUGACGGGUAACGGGGAAUUAGGGUUCGAUUCCGGAGAGGGAGCCUGAGAAACGGCUACCACAUCUAAGGAAGGCAGCAGGCGCGCAAAUUACCCAAUCCUAAUACAGGGAGGUAGUGACAAGAAAUAACAAUACAGGACUUUUUGGUUUUGUAAUUGGAAUGAGUUAAGUAUAAACCCCUUUACAAGUAUCAAUUGGAGGGCAAGUCUGGUGCCAGCAGCCGCGGUAAUUCCAGCUCCAAUAGCGUAUAUUAAAGUUGUUGCAGUUAAAAAGCUCGUAGUUGGAUUUCUGUUAAUAAUUUAUAUAAAAUAUUUUGAUGAAUAUUUAUAUAAUAUUAACAUAAUUCAUAUUACUAUAUAUUUUAGUAUAUGAAAUUUUACUUUGAAAAAAUUAGAGU
rnacentral:rRNA from 1 species